rnacentral:rRNA from 1 species
UACGUAGGGUGCAAGCGUUGUCCGGAAUUAUUGGGCGUAAAGAGCUCGUAGGCGGUCUGUUGCGUCGGCUGUGAAAACCCGGGGCUCAACUCCGGGCCUGCAGCCGAUACGGGCAGACUAGAGUUCGGCAGGGGAGACUGGAAUUCCUGGUGUAGCGGUGAAAUGCGCAGAUAUCAGGAGGAACACCGGUGGCGAAGGCGGGUCUCUGGGCCGUACUGACGCUGAGGAGCGAAAGCGUGGGGAGAAACAGGAUUAGAA